rnacentral:rRNA from 1 species
GACAGAGGGUGCGAACGUUGUUCGGAAUUACUGGGCGUAAAGCGCAUGUAGGCGGCAGCGCAAGUCGGGCGUGAAAUCCCACGGCUCAACCGUGGAAGUGCACUCGAAACUGCGCAGCUAGAGUCCUGGAGAGGAAGGUGGAAUGCUUGGUGUAGAGGUGAAAUUCGUAGAUAUCAAGCGGAACACCGGUGGCGAAGGCGGCCUUCUGGCCCGGUACUGACGCUGAGGCACGAAAGCGUGGGGAGCAAACAGGAUUAGACUACC